AGAGUUUGAUCAUGGCUCCGGACGAACGCUGGCGGCGUGCCUAAUACAUGCAAGUCGAACGGUCUUUUCUAUGGAAGCUUGCUUCCACUGAGAAGAUAGUGGCGAACGGGUGAGUAACACGUGGGUAACCUGCCCAUAAGAGGGGGAUAACAUCCGGAAACGGGUGCUAAUACCGCAUAGUUUUCUUGAUCGCAUGAUCGGGAAAGGAAAGACGGCCUUCGUGCUGUCGCUUAUGGAUGGACCCGCGGCGUAUUAGUUAGUUGGUGAGGUAACGGCUCACCAAGACGAUGAUACGUAGCCGACCUGAGAGGGUGAUCGGCCACAUUGGGACUGAGACACGGCCCAAACUCCUACGGGAGGCAGCAGUAGGGAAUCUUCCGCAAUGGACGAAAGUCUGACGGAGCAACGCCGCGUGAGUGAAGAAGGUUUUCGGAUCGUAAAACUCUGUUGUCAGAGAAGAACAAGUUGGAGAGUAACUGCUCCAGCCUUGACGGUAUCUGACCAGAAAGCCCCGGCUAACUACGUGCCAGCAGCCGCGGUAAGACGUAGGGGGCGAGCGUUGUCCGGAAUUGCUGGGCGUAAAGAGCACGUAGGCGGGAACCUAAGUCAGGUGUGAAAGACCGUGGCUCAACCACGGGGUGGCAUUUGAAACUGGGUUUCUUGAGGGCAGGAGAGGAAAGCAGAAUUCCUGGUGUAGCGGUGAAAUGCGUAGAAAUCAGGAGGAAUACCAGUGGCGAAGGCGGCUUUCUGGACUGACCCUGACGCUGAGGUGCGAAAGCGUGGGUAGCAACAGGAUUAGAUACCCUGGUAGUCCACGCCGUAACGAUGGAUACUAGGUGUGGGAGGUAUCGACCCCUUCCGUGCCGCAGCUAACGCAAUAAGUAUCCCGCCUGGGGGAGUCC
rnacentral:rRNA from 1 species